AAAUCCGAAAAACGCGGAAUUAAAAAACACAAGGGAGAGAAAAUAGAUCUAUGAAGAACAUAGAUCUUGUAGAAACUCAUAUUUGAUCAAGAACACAAAAAUCAAAUGAAACCGAAAUCUAACAUAGGUCAUGAAUCGCUCAAAACCGAACACAUAAAUCAAACCAAAAUCUUUGUUUUUGUUGUUCUGUGUCUGCAAUUUCUUUUUUCCUCUUAGGCUUGCGUUUUUUAGUGGUUCACUGGUUUUGUUGUUGUUGUUGAUGAUGAAGUGCCACUGAUGAAGAUCUGACUCUUCAUCUUUUGAUAACGAUGAUGAUGUUGUUGCUGUUGUUG
rnacentral:lncRNA from 1 species